rnacentral:rRNA from 1 species
GCAUUUCAGUCGUGAGGAGGUAGUGUAGUUAUAGCUGCAUUAUUUGACGUUAGCGACAGAAGAAGCACCGGCUAACUCCGUGCCAGCAGCCGCGGUAAUACGGAGGGUGCGAGCGUUUAAUCGGAAUUACUGGGCGUAAAGCGCAUGCAGGUGGUUUGUUAAGUCAGAUGUGAAAGCCCGGGGCUCAACCUCGGAAUUGCAUUUGAAACUGGCAGACUAGAGUACUGUAGAGGGGGUAGAAUUUCAGGUGUAGCGGUGAAAAUGCGUAGAGAUCUGAAGGAAUACCGGUGGCGAAGGCGGCCCCCUGGACAGAUACUGACACUCAGAUGCGAAAGCGUGGGGAGCAAACAGGAUUAGAUACCCUGGUAG